rnacentral:rRNA from 1 species
GGCAUUGCAUGCGGGAAGAAGCAGUACCGAAAGGAGCUGUGGACUGCAUGGAAGAGAGAAUGCCGGAAUGAGUAGCGAGAAUAAGGUGAGAAUCCUUAUGGCCGAAUAUCCAAGGUUUCCAGAGUAAAGCUGAUCUGCUCUGGGUAAGUCGGGGCCUAAGGCGAGGACGAGAGUCGUAGCCGAUGGACAACAGGUGGAGAUUCCUGUACUGCGGUAUGACAGAACUGUGGGGACACGUAAGGAAAGCGGAAGCCGGGAAUGGAAAGCCCGGUGCAAGCGGGGUACCAGUCACUCUGGCAAAUCCGGGUGGCAAUGGGAAGCCGUGAUGCGGAGUGAAAUAAAGUAACGAAGUCCGUGAGCCAUGCGUCAAGAAAAGCCGCUAUUGUUUAUACCGUACCCGUACCGUAAACCGACACAGGUGGAUGAGGAGAGAAUCCUAAGGCCGGCGGAAGAAGCAUUGUCAAGGAACUCGGCAAAAUGGCCCCGUAACUUAGGGAUAAGGGGUGCCUGGGAAACCAGGCCGCAGAGAAUAGGCUCAAGCAACUGUUUAGCAAAAACACAGGUCUAUGCGAAACCGAAAGGUGAGGUAUAUGGGCUGACGCCUGCCCGGUGCUGGAAGGUUAAGAGGAGAGGUUAGCGCAAGCGAAGCUUUGAAUUUAAGCCCCAGUAAACGGCGGCCGUAACGAUAACGGUCCUAAGGUAGCGAAAUUCCUUGUCGGGUAAGUUCCGACCCGCACGAAAGGCGUAAUGAUUUGAGCGCUGUCUCGACAAUGCAUCCGGUGAAAUUGAAGUACCAGUGAAGAUGCUGGUUACCUGCGCCAGGACGGAAAGACCCCAUGGAGCUUUACUCCAGUUUGGUACUGGGACUCGGUAUUGCAUGUACAGGAUAGGUGGGAGGCUGAGAGACAGUAACGCCAGUUAUUGUGGAGCCGCUGUUGGGAUACCACCCUUGCAGUAUUGGGUUUCUAACCAGCCGCCGUGACCCGGCGGUGGGACAAUGCCAGACGGGGAGUUUGACUGGGGCGGUCGCCUCCGAAAGGGUAUCGGAGGCGCCCAAAGGUUCCCUCAGAAUGGACGGAAACCAUUCGAAGAGUGCAAAGGCAGAAGGGAGCUUGACUGCGACACCGACGGGUGGAGCAGGUACGAAAGUAGGGCUUAGUGAUCCGGUGGUAUUAAGUGGGAAUGCCAUCGCUCAACGGAUAAAAGCUACCCUGGGAUAACAGGCUUAUCACUCCCAAGAGUUCACAUCGACGGAGUGGUUUGGCACCUCGAUGUCGGCUCAUCGCAUCCUGGGGCUGUAGUAGGUCCCAAGGGUUGGGCUGUUCGCCCAUUAAAGCGGUACGCGAGCUGGGUUCAGAACGUCGUGAGACAGUUCGGUCCCUAUCCGGCGUGGGCGUAGGAUAUCUGAGAGGAGCUGUCCUUAGUACGAGAGGACCGGGAUGGACGGGCCGCUGGUGCAUCGGUUAGACUGCCAAGUCUACGGCCGAGUAGCCAAGCCCGGAAGGGAUAAACGCUGAAGGCAUCUAAGCGUGAAGCCCCCCUUAAGAUGAGAUAUCCCAUUCGAAAGAAGUAAACCCCCUUGAAGAUGACGAGGUAGAUAGGGCAGAGGUGGAAGUGUGGCAACACAUGGAGCUGACUGUUACUAAUCGGGUGAGGGCUUGACC